UCCAGCUUAACGCUGGCGGUUUCCUUAGAGUUCCCAACUGAAUGAUGGCAACUAAGGACGAGGGUUGCGCUCGUUGCGGGACUUAACCCAACAUCUCACGACACGAGCUGACGACAGCCAUGCAGCACCUGUGUUCCAGCCAGCCAAACUGAAGGACGCCGUCUCUGGCGCCCAUACUGGACAUGUCAAGGCCUGGUAAGGUUCUUCGCGUUGCCUCGAAUUAAACCACAUGCUCCACCGCUUGUGCGGGUCCCCGUCAAUUCCUUUGAGUUUUAAUCUUGCGACCGUACUCCCCAGGCGGGGUGCUUCACGCGUUAGCUACGCCACCGAGCCCUAAGGACCCGACGGCUAGCACCCAUCGUUUACGGCGUGGACUAC
rnacentral:misc_RNA from 1 species